AGCUCUCUCGUCUAUUUGCCAGGUAGUUCAGACCCCUGAGCCGAUGCUUAUAUACCCGGGGGUUUCUCGCCUUGUUGGCGUGCCUGUCCGCUUGACGGAAAGCCCGAUACUAGUCAGAAACCACCACCUUGAACCGCUGGGUUCAAGGGCCAGACCGCCAGCGGUAGACAGGGAGAGCCC
rnacentral:other from 1 species